rnacentral:misc_RNA from 1 species
UAGUAGUAGACUCCGCAAAAGAAAG